GACGAACGCUGGCGGCGUGCUUAACACAUGCAAGUCGAACGCUGAAGACCUGGCUUUUGUUGGGUUGGAUGAGUGGCGAACGGGUGAGUAACACGUGAGUAACCUGCCCUCUUCUUUGGGAUAACGCCCGGAAACGGGUGCUAAUACUGGAUAUUCACUGAUCUUCGCAUGGGGGUUGGUGGAAAGGUUUGUUCUGGUGGGGGAUGGGCUCGCGGCCUAUCAGCUUGUUGGUGGGGUGAUGGCCUACCAAGGCUUUGACGGGUAGCCGGCCUGAGAGGGUGACCGGUCACAUUGGGACUGAGAUACGGCCCAGACUCCUACGGGAGGCAGCAGUGGGGAAUAUUGCACAAUGGGCGAAAGCCUGAUGCAGCGACGCCGCGUGAGGGAUGGAGGCCUUCGGGUUGUAAACCUCUUUCGCUCAUGGUCAAGCCGAAACUGUGGGUUGUGGUGAGGGUAGUGGGUAAAGAAGCGCCGGCUAACUACGUG
rnacentral:rRNA from 1 species